AACUUUCAACAACGGAUCUCUAGGCUCUUGCAUCGAUGAAGAACGCAGUGAAAUGUGAUAAGUAAUGUGAAUUGCAGAAUCUCGUGAAUCAUCAAAUCUUUGAACGCA
rnacentral:rRNA from 1 species